rnacentral:lncRNA from 1 species
AGAAGGCAGUGUCUCCAGGGAAGGAGCACUCCAAGCUGGUCCUCUGACUGGAUAAUGCUGUCCUGGAAUGUGGUGAGAGUAAGGGAGGGUGGGGGAGCUGCUCUCUGGCCCGUGAUAAAGCUGUCCCUGUCAACAUGGGGUGCUAGAAACAAUUGGAUGAGUGGCUUUCCCUUUUUGAGCCUCAGUUUCUCUUUCCUGCGGAACAGAUGUGUGAGGCUUCCCACAGUUCACCUAGCCUGGAUGUCUAGGAGUUUCCAGGCCCAAGUUCCAGCUGCAGAGUUGCCCUCUCUCUGGGAAAUUGCGUCCCCCUCAGUAGACUAUCCCUUUAAGGUUGGGCGGGGCCUGCUGGACACUGGCCAGUGAGGAAGCACUGAAGCGGGCCACUAGAGUCCUUGAGGUAGUUAGUGGCUAUUCAAGAACUAGGAGACCGUGGGUGGGUGGCUUCCCGGUGGGAUCCCCAGCUGCUGGGGGGGGGGUGACAAAGAGGGGAGGAACAACCUCACUGAGCCCUGGGCUCAACCUUACUGUGGACGAAAGCAGGGACCUCAAGGAGCCGUGAAGUGCCAAGGGUGCAGCUGUGGAAAGCUGCCAGAACCUCUCUAGAUGGUCGCAUCUGCAGAGCUCAGCCACCAGGCCUUCUAGUGUGCUGGGCUCUCCCCUAGUCCAGACUGAUGGCUGCAUGCCAGACAUGCGCCAGAGGCCGGGCGGCCUCCACUGUGCGUUACUGCAUGACGGUUGGUGGCACAGUGGUCCUGGUGGUUGGGAUACUCUGUUUCGUAUCGUGGAGUGAAGGCAAUGUUGCCGUCCAGCCUGGCUCGCUGCCCGCCACCGUGAAGCAGCCAUCGCCCGAGAUGCCCCCGACUUGGCUUAAGUCUGUCAUCAUCCUCUGCUGCAGCGUGGGUGGUCUGCUUCUGUUCUUUGGCCUGCUUUGGUCUAUCCAGGAAAGGACAAAGAAGUCAAGCCAGGGGGACUUCUACCGACUCUCCAGAGACCUGUAUCACCUUGCUGUGGAGUGCCCUGUGAAGGAGCCCUACAGGUCAGUGUUGGGCAGGGUGGGAACUUUGGGUGAUCCAUCAUAGCCACACUAGCCAGUAUUUGUUCAGAAAAUUCUCAUGAGAUUCCUCCACUGGACAAGGCCUUGCUCUGUAUCCCUAGGAUGUGGGAACAGACAUGACAGAGACAAAUGACUAACCAGAGUAGAGUCCAGACGUAGUCCUACAGAGAUGGAGAGAAAUCUGGGAAGCCUUGCAGGAGGAGGCAACAGCCAAGCUCACCAGAGAAGCACAGGGGGCAAGAACCCAGCUUAGGAAGGGUCCUUGAGAAACAAGAGGGUACGGUCAGGGCCAGGUAAGAGACUGAGUGCCUUUGGAUCUCUAGUGUCGUAGCCAGGACUUCUCUGUGGAAGAGGAAGCCAGGCCCAGAGACCUUUAACUUCCCCAAGGCUACCCAAGGAUAUGUCAGAACUGGGACCUAAAAUUCCAGCCACUUUGCUGGGAACCAGUGCUCUCCAUGGCUAAUGGAUUCAUGAGAUACCAGGGACAUUGAGGUUGUUGAUAUGAGGGAGCAGCUCACAGAAGGUGCCCAGCACACAGUAGGCCUGUUGGAAGUGACAACUUUCCCUGACCUACAAAGGUGGGUGUAGGUGGGGUGAGGUGGGGGGUUGGGUGGCGGUUGUGUUGGGGGUUGGGUGAAGGUAGAAAGAAAUGACUGGAUCAAAACAGUUCUCAGCCUGUUUUUUCUUUGCCAUUAUCCCCCAGCCUUUGAAAGUGAACUCUGUGAUCCUCCUGUCCCAAGGGCUCGGAUUACAGGCACGCAUCUCCAUGACCAGCUUUUGAGCACAUCUUCUUGGAAUCUGAUCCCCAUAGAUGUGCUGUGGUCUGUGUAUGUUGUAUGUGUACGUUUGUGUUUCAUGUCUGGGGACCGAUCUUGCCCUGUAAGGAUUGGUCAUGCAUAUUCUCACCGAGUACUCAUUUAUUCUACAAAGCACCCCUUGGAUCUGGAGCCUGCAUGCAUUCUCCACCCUCUGCCUGCUUGUACCUUUAUGCCACCGGGAACCACCGUUGCUGUCUGUAGGAGGCUUUUUCUGUUACAUGCAGCUCACAUGGGUGAGCCUGUGGUCUGCAAGACCGUGUGACCUCUGCACUUCUGCUCCAUAACGAGCUAACCUGUGCUCCUUGGAACUGGUUGGAGGUCUACCUGGAUGUUUUUCUUUCCUUUGUUGGUAGAUAGUGUCUUCUGGAGUUUCUUGCUAUCAUCCCAUAGUUCUUUGAGACCAGAUACAACAUUCAACAGAUAGUACAUAUAGCCAGACUUCAAGUGGGACGUGAUAGAGCACACCUGUAAUCCAGCACUUGGAAGACUGAGAUAGAUCGACCGAGUUCCAGGCCAGCCUGAGCUACAGAGCUGAACCUUUUAAGGUUUUAAGAGACCAUCAUUUGCUCUUCUCAGUGCAGGACCUCGGCACAGGGGAUGCUGCACCAAAUGUGUGGGACGAUGCACCCACACACACUCCCAGAGCUCCGUCUCCUAGGUAACUCUAGAUCUUGCCAACACUGAAGAUCAACCAUCAUCUCUCUCUCUCCUCUAGUGCGCUGCUGGGCUCCUGAGAGAGACCGUGGUGGGUGUGCUUUGCACACGGCUUGCAUCCUUAGCUUCCCCUGCUCUUCCUCACCGCAGUCUUGGUCUUGAACAGGCUUGAGCCUGGGCUGCUCACAGGGAGGAUGGAGGGAUUAGGCCUGUUUUACAGACGGGUAAAGUGUGGGGUAAGCAUGAGCUCUUCCGUUAGAGAAGAGGACUGUACACUCAGCUGAUGUGCUUUCUACUCAUCCCUCUGUGAGGUGGGUGGGGCUUCCUCCUGCUCUACUGAGUUUGCUCUCUCAACAGAAAGCCCCCUGGGUCAGCAUGGAGCCUGUCCCUUGCCCUUACAAGGCUAUCCUGAUCUCUGUGCUUGACCACACCGCACAACCACAGAGCUCUGGGUUGAGAGUGUACUAGGCACCGCCUAUACACUAAGACAGGACCUUGCAAAGGCUCAAGUUCCCUGCGUUCUUGUAUUCUUGUAACUUAACCUUGGACAGCUAAAUUUGAUGAGCUACUGAAGUGACAGGCGCUGGCCUCAGGGCUGCACACCUGCCCUAAGCAAAUUUCCUGUUGUGGGCUGAGCUCCUGGGGUUCCUGAGCCCUAGCCUGCUGGAUGCCACAUGCUGGGAUCUCUGCAUCUGAGCCCUUGGGGGGUCUCUCCACAAGGUCACUGCCUUUCCCCAUCCCAGGUCCCCAAGCUGGCUGCCACCUCAUGUCAGGUCACCAGGAGGCAGGCUCACCCUCCUGGUCUCAGAGCAGCUCAGAGAGCAGUUUGGGGACUCCGUGGAAAACAAGAAGUGGGGACAGGUCAGAAGAUGUCCCAGGGGAGUUUCAAAGUGGGGAGUGGUGGCAGCAAGAAGUGCAGGAGGAGAACAGAGGUGGAGGAGUAUGAGGAGGAGGGAGAGCUGAUGUUGGCAGCUGCUCCAGCAAGCUUCAUAAGGAGACUCCCCGGUCUCCCUGGCAUGCAGGAGAGUUUUGAGCUGGUCCUAACAGCCUCUUUCCUGUUCCCACAGGCCUCCUAAGGAGGCUGUCAUUCCCACUUAUGAGGAGACCAUGUACUACCCACUGGCUGAGGGUCUCCUGCAAUUCCCUGUGCAGCCUGAAGAAGACCUCCAGUGCCACGCCCCAGGGGAUGCCCGGCUGGGGUCAGCAUCCUUCUCACGCCCACCCAGCUACGAGAGCAUCCUCCUCACUCAGGGGCCUGUUUCUGGAUUGAGUGCUGCAGGCUCCAGCCCUGUUUGAGCUCAGGCUGCAGGAGAGUUACAGGUCUCCAGCAAGGCUGUGAAACUGGCCCCUAACCAGCAAGCUUUGCUCGAGGCCUCCACCAGGACUGGGUUCACAGCAGGCAUUCAACAAGAGGUCUAUUGCUGGGGGCUGUUUAUGCAUCCGUUGCUGUGUGAGCAUGAGUUGGCUUUAAAUAACCCCACUUUAUUACGUCUC